CUGCAAACUCUGCCUCCCCAGUUCAAAUGAUUCUCUUCCCUCAGCCUCCUGAGGAGCUGAGAUUACAGGUCCUCGCCACCAUGCUCAACAAACUUUUUUGUAUUUUUAGGAGACGGGUUUCAUCAUGUUGGCCAGGCUGCUUUCGAACUGCUGACCUCAGGUGUUCCACUCACCUCAGUCUCUCAAAGUGCAUGUAUAAUGGGCGUGAGCCCUCACACCCAGCCUUAACUUUAUUUAUUUUUAACUUUACUUAUUUUUUUAAAAGACGGGGUUUCACCGUGUUGGUCAGGCUGGUCUUGAACCCACAACGUCAGGUAAUCUGCCCACCUUGGUCUCCAAAGUGCUUGGAUUACAGGCAUGAGUCACCAUGCCCAGCCAACUUUAUUUUUAAAAAUCAGAGAGAUUGGGCCGGGCGCUGUGGCUCACGCCAGUAAUCCUAGCACUUUGGGAGGCCGAAGUGGGUGGAUCACCUGAGGUCAAUAGUUAAAGAUCAGCCUGGCCGUCAUGGUGAAACCCCAUCUUAUUAAAAAAAAGAAAAUCUGCCGGGUGUGGUGGCUCACGCCUGUAAUCCCAGCACUUUGGGAGGCUGAGGCGGGUGGAUCACGAGGUCAAGAGAUUGAGACCAUCCUGGUCAACAUGGUGAAAGCCCGUCUCUACUAAUACAAAAAAAUUAGCUGGGCAUGGUGGCGCGUGCCUGUAAUCCCAGCUACUCAGGAGGCUGAGGCAGGAGAAUUGCCUGAACCCAGG
rnacentral:lncRNA from 1 species